rnacentral:rRNA from 1 species
UAACACGUGAGCAACCUGCCCUAUAGAGGGGGAUAACGUUUGGAAACGAACGCUAAUACCGCAUAACGCGCUGAGGGGACAUCCCUUUGGCGCCAAAGGAGCAAUCCGCUAUAGGAUGGGCUCGCGUCCGAUUAGAUAGUUGGCGGGGUAACGGCCCACCAAGUCGACGAUCGGUAGCCGGACUGAGAGGUUGAACGGCCACAUUGGGACUGAGACACGGCCCAGACUCCUACGGGAGGCAGCAGUGGGGGAUAUUGCACAAUGGAGGGAACUCUGAUGCAGCGACGCCGCGUGAGGGAAGAAGGUUUUCGGAUUGUAAACCUCUGUCUUCGGUGACGAAACGAGACGGUAGCCGAGGAGGAAGCCACGGCUAACUACGUGCCAGCAGCCGCGGUAAUACGUAGGUGGCAAGCGUUGUCCGGAAUUACUGGGUGUAAAGGGAGCGUAGGCGGGAAAGCAAGUUGAAUGUUUAAGGUACGGGCUCAACCUGUACAAGCGUUCAAAACUGUUUUUCUUGAGUGGAGUAGAGGUAAGCGGAAUUCCUAGUGUAGCGGUGAAAUGCGUAAAUAUUAGGAGGAACACCAGUGGCGAAGGCGGCUUACUGGGCUUUAACUGACGCUGAGGCUCGAAAGCGUGGGUAGCAAACAGGAUUAGAUACCCUGGUAGUCCACGCCGUAAACGAUGAUUACUAGGUGU